rnacentral:rRNA from 1 species
GAUGAACGCUGGCGGCGUGCCUAAUACAUGCCAGUCGAGCGAACAGACGAGGAGCUUGCUCCUCUGACGUUAGCGGCGGACGGGUGAGUAACACGUGGAUAACCUACCUAUAAGACUGGGAUAACUUCGGGAAACCGGAGCUAAUACCGGAUAAUAUAUUGAACCGCAUGGUUCAAUAGUGAAAGACGGUUUUGCUGUCACUUAUAGAUGGAUCCGCGCCGCAUUAGCUAGUUGGUAAGGUAACGGCUUACCAAGGCAACGAUGCGUAGCCGACCUGAGAGGGUGAUCGGCCACACUGGAACUGGGACACGGUCCAGACUCCUACGGGAGGCAGCAGUAGGGAAUCUUCCGCAAUGGGCGAAAGCUUGACGGAGCAACGCCGCGUGAGUGAUGAAGGUCUUCGGAUCGUAAAACUCUGUUAUUAGGGAAGAACAAAUGUGUAAGUAACUAUGCACGUCUUGACGGUACCUAAUCAGAAAGCCACGGCUAACUACGUG